rnacentral:rRNA from 1 species
UACGGGGGGGGCAAGCGUUGUUCGGAAUUACUGGGCGUAAAGGGCUCGUAGGCGGCCAACUAAGUCAGACGUGAAAUCCCCAGGCUUAACCUGGGAACUGCGUCUGAUACUGGAUGGCUUGAAUUCGGGAGAGGGAUGCAGAAUUCCAGGUGUAGCGGUGAAAUGCGUAGAUAUCUGGAGGAAUACCGGUGGCGAAGGCAGUUCUCUGGGCCGUAACUGACGCUGAGGAGCGAAAGCGUGGGGAGCGAACAGG